UGUGAAAAUUUUAAUUCAGCUUUCUGUGCACAUAUACAAGGAAAUUCAAUGGAAAUUUCUUACCAACUCUUUUCAAACAUCAGCAAAAAAGUUGUAAACACGUGUAAUUAAAACAGGAUUAAAAGACUGUUCACGAAUAAACGUUUUGGAGGAAAUUAUACGGCAUUAUUUUAAAUAGCCGUUGCUAUGUUCAUGCGUAUCACUUGAAACAUUUGUUUCAUAUUGAAAAAAAAAAAAAAAUAACUUUCCCAGUGUCAGAUGUAAUCUCCUAUUUCCCAAUCUAGGUAUACAGUAGGGCCAUAUGUACACAGUCGAUCGAUAACCACGCUGAAACCAGGAUCACUGCAAAAAUAUAUACAUGUAUCUGUUAUAUCGUCACCUUAGCUCUCAAGAGCCUGGAAGAAAUGGAGUGACAGGUUCAAAAAAAAAAAAAAAAGGCAAAGGUAGGUUGGAUACAGUGGAAGCAGUGCGAGAAUUGUCAGGCGGCCAAGUCACCUUCGGAAUGACAUCGGCCUUCUUAUUGUAUCAAGUCGCUACCAUCAUGUGAUCAGCCAACCCUCGGCCAGUAACUGAUAAGAAAGACAAGGUGAAAGGUGAUCUGCAGGCGCUGGCACCAAGCGAAGCCGGCAGAACGCAGCAGGGUGGGAGUGUUGGUAAGAGAAGGGGAGGGUUAGUCGGUGGAGUCUUCGUAGCUGUCUAUGACUUAAAUAACAGCAAUGCAAAGAUUACUGUUGAUCUCUUCUCAUUCUCAUCGCCUUAACAACGAUGUUGAUAACAACAACAACGAUAAUAAUAAAGAAUCGGGUGUUCGGUAUAUACAUAGUAAAGACAAAAAGCUGUUCUGGGGAAAAAUUCUCGAGAGAGAUUAUAUUGGACAAUGAGCGAGGUCGAGACUUGAUCAAGGAAUGGGUUGGACAGUUGUGAAAUAUUGUUAGAGAAAUGUUUACUGCCGAUUUCUAACCGUCGCUCUCUCUCUCUCUCUCUCACUCACAUACACACACACACUCUCUCCCACACACAUAACGCUCACUCGAUCCAUACCUCUCCGUCUUGAAUAAUAGGAAUAAACACACACGAAAAAUCCCUCCCAUUAAACAAACAAGCAGGCAUACUGUAUAGGUAUUAAUCGUCUGCAAGAUACGAUCAUCAGACUCUCGCGGUACUGCAAGCAAGGCAAGAACAAAGCUAAUCAGACUCAUAUCCGUAAGAAAAUCGUAAGAAAUGUGCUGCUACUUCAGGGCCGUCUUGCAAUGAUGGACACUGAUUUGACAAUUAGUUGCAUUCUAGCAAUUAUGCAGAUGUAAUAAGUUCGAGGAAAGCCUAAAGCUCAGUGGGAACUCAGAAAGUGAUAACCACGGUAGACCUAAAAGGCGUUUGAUAAAAAAAAAAAAUAAUAAUAAUAAUAAAAGAAGUCAAUUCAGCUGUCGCAUCCAAGGAAAAAAGGAAGAGAAAAAUAGUGCUGCAUAAAUUAUAAAUGCACAUUCUAGUUUAACAUUCGUGCAUUUCGGACGGAAAACUAAUACGAAAAGUGUUCGAUAAAUACUUAUAUGAACGCAUGUGUGUGUGUGUGUUUCUAAGGAGUGAUACGGUAAAACAAAAGUACUGAUACAUUUCAGCAGUUCUGAAUCCGUGCAUCUCAGACUAGAGUGAAGACGGUAAUCUGAUUCUGAAUGGUAAGACAAAAGCUAUUUUUUACAUAAAUUUUCCCACAAACAUGUCUCGACUCCGCAAAUAUAAAAUACUGCAUUGAAACCUUGAAGGAGAAAAAAUAUCAAGUAAAUAAAAGGCUGCGUUGUUUUGAAGUAACAUGCAACCUAAAUGCAAAAGUUUAAAAUAUUGCGAUACGAGUACCAACUUUACACUCGCAAAAAGGAAGAAGAAUAAAACUGUGUGUAUAGUACAGAAGAUAUUUACAUCUUUAAGCGACAAAAUGCUUUCAAUGUGUUUUGAAAAAUCACUAAUACAGAAACAGUUGUUGAAAAUGGCGGCUUGAGUUCCAUCAAAAAGUGAUAUUCAUUGAAGCUGAUGCCAACUGAACAACUAGUAUUUCAAAUCUGAUGAAGUCUUCUUUAAACGCACGCGCGUCCACACUCUCCCCAUCCCCACUUUCCCCAACAUUUUUGUAGUCUGACAGAAAGGACAUGAUAAAGAUAAAUACAAAAUCCGACCAAGUCUAUACACCAAUUUGAACGAUGUUGAAAAAUAUGUUAUUGAAAAUACACAAGUAGCACUUAUUGUGACUGUAGGUAUGACAAUUUUGAGUGUAAUUUUGUGCAAAGUAAAUAUAUAUAUAUACAAUAAAUUUUAAAAAACCUAUUAAUAUUUUUUUUACCCCCUCUCACUAAACAAUGACAUAUAUAUCGUUCAAAUUUUAAUAGGAAAACAACACUUUCAUUUUUGUUCCCAGUGUUACCUGCGCAUAAAGAAAUAUACUGCAAAAUAAAUAAAUUAAUAGUAAUUUAAAAUUUUCUCAAAAGUACAUCGUUUUCAUUAACUUUAAUUAGCUUUCAUAAUUCAUGAAAAUAAAGAAUAAUAAACAUUUGAUGUAACCAUUAAGUAUCCAAGAGAGUCUUUAAUCAAAUGUAAAAAAAAAAUUAAAAAAGAACUAUGUGAUCAAGUUUGCGGUUAUAAUAGUUUGAAAGUGGCUGAUGGAUCCAACAGUCAGUCUACAGAAUUAUGAGCUGACACGUAAGUCUGCACGAGACUGGAAAAAAUGAUGGGGUCGUGACCCUCGUGUCAACAAAUAUCUCGCGGGCUCUUGACGAGAAUGUGCGUUAGUGUACGAGAAAGCAUCGCGCCAGAGCAGAAGCCAAUAAACUCAAGCAGCAACCAUCUUGAAAGACGUGAUAUUCCUCAGGUUUUGCAGUGAUUAUUUCAAGAUGAUGCUUUGUGUUUGUGUCUGCCCAGGUGCGCUGAAGCUUGAAGACAAACUGAUCUUGCAAGCCAUGGUUGUGCUGCACGGAAUUUGAAGGCCAGCGAGUUAUCUCCCGCCAGCUGUCAACCGUCCAGAACACAGUAAAAGAAGUGUCAUAAACCUGUUAAGAAAAUAAAAACUGACAAAUGGAACUGUAGCUACAAGGAUUCUCCCUAAGGGACAGAAUGGGAGACAAUUACCAGUGCUAGCGAUUGCCGCAAUUUCAAUUUCACCUGACAGAGCUGGCAAGGAAAACUUGGCACUGUGAUCACUGGUCCCAUAUAGUCGUCUCAGCACCGAGUCCUAGUUGGAAACCAGCCUGACCCUGAGGGAAGUCCUCGAGAGAGAGAGAUGCCUGGCCAUGACCUGUUGGCCCCCGCACAUUAUACGUGCCGUUUCCAUCAUGCCUUCCAAAAACUGAGAACCUUAUCUCCAUCAUCCUGAGAACUGGGCUCCUCGUCGAUAAACUGCAGCGAUGACUGGGACACCGUUGGCGAGUGCCCCUCGGUGACGGCCGUGACGACCAGCAGGGGUUUGGUGUCCGGGUCGUGGCGGGGCGAGCUGGCGUUGGAGUUCUCUCGCGAUGAUGAACCGUUGGUGUGGCUGUAGCCUGGGCCUCGUAUGUUGUAGUUACUCUUUUGGAAGACAAACAAAACGCCAAGAUACAGUGAGUGGAUCGAACAAGCUCUUCAACAAAAAAAUGAAAACAAAUCAAUAGACAACCAGGUUUUUAUUUGAUGUCCAUCGUACACAGCUUCGCGAGCGCAUGACAGUCGAACGUUUUUAUGAUGUGAAUUUCUGUGGUCACUACUUUUAAAAUAUACUAAAUUUAUACAUUAAUAUGUAUUUUCACUUACACACAACAAUGCUCUUAAAUGUCAUUCAAUAAAUAUAUAUAUUUUCAAUA
rnacentral:lncRNA from 1 species